GGUGCACACCGCGCUCACUGAGAUUCGUCACUUCCUGC
rnacentral:SRP_RNA from 1 species